GCCAAAGAAGGAAUAAAAUAGUUAGAGUUAGCUAAGUGUUGCUUGGCUAGCAUGGAUGUGCUAUGCGACCAAGAAAGUGCAAAAAGAACCUACAAAGGUAUAGUGUUAGACGGGCAAGAGAAGCUCUAGGCAUGCUAGGCGACCAUGAGAGUUGAGCUAAGACAAAACUUAUGCGGCCAGAAUGGUGACAAGAUCAAUGUUUACGCAACAAGCCCAAAAACGUUAUAUAUGUUUGAGAGACGACCAAGCUUAUGCCUUGAUUUCAAUGCAAGAAGUGCACACCAUGCGUCCAUGUGAGUGUGUUCAAGGGUUUAUGGUGGAGUGGAUCACGAGUGGCCUCGUAUGUAAGCAGUUAGAUUUCAGCAAGCAAGAUGUGUCAUUAGAAGGCCAUGCAAGAACCAUUAUAUAAAGCAACUUUAAAGGGAUGCAAGAGAGAAAAACUCAAUUCUAAGGUGAAUUUAGAACACUCACCAAAUAUUUGAAGCCAGAGAACACAUUACUUGGAUUGAGGUAAGAUAGAUAAAAGAAUUUUAAGAAACUUUAUAGAAAGAAGUUUUCUAGUAUGAUGAGUGGAUUUAAGUUAUAAGCUCUAAAAGUUGAAUUAGAAUUUUGGAAUGCACAGGGCAUCUGGGCUGAGGGGUACUGUUACUAAACACUGGUCGAGUUACAAUGAAGUCGUUCGAGGAGCUAGGCAUGCAAAAGGAUAUUUGAGGUUAGCAUGUGUAAUAGGAUGGCCCAAUGCAUGCCAGCCAUGCUCUAAGUGUCAUUUUAGGCCAUUUUUGAUGUUUUUGCAAUCUUAGAGUAAAGUUUGAGUUAUUUCUAAAUUAAGAAGAUUAAUUUGAGAUUAAGUUUUCUUA